CAUGGCUCUGAAUGAACGUGGGCGGCGUGGAUUAGGCAUGCAAGUCGAGCGCUCAUAGCAAUAUGCGAGCGGCGAACGGCGUAAGAAUUCAUAAGAACGUACCCUCAGGACGAGGAUAGCUACGGGAAACUGUAGUUAAUCACUGAUGAUCUACGCGGAGCAAAUGUGUGAUUCCGCCUGAGGAGCGGUCUAUCCGAUAUUAGCUAGUUGGCGGGGUAAUGGCCUACCAAGGCGAAGAUGUCUAGGGGCAGUGAGAGCAUGGCCCCCACGACCGGAACUGAGAUACUGUCCGGACACCUACGGUUGGCUACAGUCGAGAAUCUUCCCCAAUGGACGAAAGUCCGACGGAGCGACGCCGCGUGCGGGAGGAAGGCCCUUGGGUUGUAAACCGCUUUCGGAGGGGAUGAAAUCCUCGAGGGUUCUCCCUCGAGGUCGACCGAGCCUCAAAAGACGCACGGGCUAAGUACGUCCCAGCAGCCGCGGUAACACGUACUGUGCGAACGUUUUUUGGAAUCACUGGGCCUAAAGGGUGCGUAGGCGGCGAUUCAAGUCAGAUGUGAAAUCCCUGAGAUCAACUGAGGCAUUGCGUUUGAAACAGAAUUUAUAGAGUAUUUCAGGGGUGUGCGGAACCCGCAGUGGAGCGGUGAAAUGUGUUGAUAUUGGCAGGAACACCGGAGGCGAAAGCGGCACACUGGG
rnacentral:rRNA from 1 species